AUGUCCGGAGCAGGAGGCAAAUGGGUGGCUUCCACCGUGAAGGAGAAGAACAUCGCAAGUCUUCGGGUGGCCGGAUACUUGGCCGCAGACAUAGGGCACCGGCUACCAGAUGGCGGGGAGGUCAUUCCAACUCCAGGACCCCAUGAGAGGGUCGUGUUCCUUGCCCACUUCGUCCGUGGACUGGGGUUUCCACUCCACCCCUUUGUCCACGGGCUCAUGUUCUACUAUGGCCUAGACUUCCAUGAUCUAGCCCCGAACUUCGUCCUCAACAUCUCGGCGUUCAUCGUCGUAUGCGAGGCUUUCCUCCGCAUCAAGCCUCAUUUCGGCUUAUGGCUGCAAACCUUCUGUGUGAAGCCGAAGAUCGUGAGCGGCCAGCAAGCGGAGUGCGGAGGAGCUAAGGUGGGCAAAAUGCCUAACGUCACCUGGCUUGACAACUCCUUUGCGGAAACCGUGAAGGGGUGGCAGUUGGGGUCGUUCUACAUCACCGAGCUGCGCGGUGCCAACUGGGUGGCGGCUCCCGAGUUCCGAUCUGGAACCCCUAUGCGGCUCACCUCCUAG
rnacentral:rRNA from 1 species